rnacentral:lncRNA from 1 species
AAACUAAAAAAAUCCGAUAAAUAAUAAUCAGAUGAUUAUAAGAUUGAAUAACAGUUACUAUUUUAUAAUAACCUCGAAGAAUGUAUAAGUAAUAAAACAACUCAAUGGAAUGCAACUGUAAUUAAAUUGAAAAUAUAUACAGUACAAACCUUUUUUUUUUUUUUUCUUGUGUCCCGAAAACGUAUAAUAACUAUUUCACAGGUAUGUAUAAUGUAUAAUGUACUUACUUCAAACGUGGUAGAAAACUAAAAUUACGAAACAUGAUUCUGCCCCUCCUCCAUUAUAAUUUCUUGCUGAUGAACAUGAUUCUGCUCCUCCGUGGAAAUCGAAAGGCCACUCUGAUUCAUC